rnacentral:rRNA from 1 species
GGCCUAACACAUGCAAGUCGAACGCGAAAGCUCCUUCGGGAGUGAGUAGAGUGGCGAACGGGCGAGUAACGCGUAGGAAUCUACCCAAGAGUGGGGGACAACCCGGAGAAAUCCGGGCUAAUACCGCAUACGCCCUACGGGGUAAAGUGGGGGACCUUUCGGGGCCUCAUGCUUUUGGAUGAGCCUGCGUCGGAUUAGCUUGUUGGUGAGGUAACGGCUCACCAAGGCGACGAUCCGUAGCUGGUCUGAGAGGAUGACCAGCCACACUGGGACUGAGACACGGCCCAGACUCCUACGGGAGGCAGCAGUGGGGAAUAUUGGACAAUGGGGGAAACCCUGAUCCAGCCAUGCCGCGUGUGUGAAGAAGGCCUUCGGGUUGUAAAGCACUUUCAGUAGGGAAGAAAAGCCUAAGGUUAAUACCCUUGGGUCCUGACGGUACCUACACAAGAAGCACCGGCUAAUUCCGUGCCAGCAGCCGCGGUAAUACGGAAGGUGCAAGCGUUAAUCGGAAUUACUGGGCGUAAAGCGCGCGUAGGCGGUUAGAUAAGUCGGGUGUGAAAGCCCUGGGCUCAACCUGGGAACUGCAUUCGAUACUGUCUGACUAGAGUGUGAUAGAGGGAGGCGGAAUUCCACAUGUAGCGGUGAAAUGCGUAGAGAUGUGGAGGAACACCAAUGGCGAAGGCAGCCUCCUGGAUUAGCACUGACGCUGAGGUGCGAAAGCGUGGGGGAGCAAACAGGAUCAGAUACCCUGGUAGUCCACGCCGUAAACGAUGUCAACUAGCCGUUGGGAGCAUUUUGGCUCUUGGUGGCGCAGCUAACGCGAUAAGUUGACCGCCUGGGGAAGUCGGUCNCAAGAUUAAAACUCAAAGGGAAUUGA